CGCGGCCUAUCAGCUUGUUGGUGAGGUAACGGCUCACCAAGGCAACGACGGGUAGCUGUUCUAAGAGGAAGAUCAGCCACACUGGGACUGAGACACGGCCCAGACUCCUACGGGAGGCAGCAGUGGGGAAUCUUGCGCAAUGGGCGAAAGCCUGACGCAGCAACGCCGCGUGCGGGAAGACGGCCUUAGGGUUGUAAACCGCUUUCAGCAGGGACGAAAUUGACGGUACCUGCAGAAGAAGCUCCGGCCAACUACGUGCCAGCAGCCGCGGUAAGACGUAGGGGGCGAGCGUUGUCCGGAUUUAUUGGGCGUAAAGGGCUCCUAGGUUGUUCAGUAAGUCGACUGUGAAAAUCCAAGGCUCAACCUUGGGACGCCAGUCGAUACUGCUGUGACUCGAGUACGGUAGAGGAGUGUGGAAUUCCUGGUGUAGCGGUGAAAUGCGCAGAUAUCAGGAGGAACACCAACGGCGAAGGCAGCACUCUGGGCCGAUACUGACACUGAAGAGCGAAAGCAUGGGGAUCAAACAGGAUUAGAUACCCUGGUAGUCCAUGCCGUAAACGUUGGGCACUAGGUGUGGGGUUCUAUCAACGGACUCCGUGCCGCAGCUAACGCAUUAAGUGCCCCGCCUGGGGAGUACGG
rnacentral:rRNA from 1 species